UGCGGCGUUCUNUGGGGCGUUCUUUAUCCGACGCGCCAUCGGCUCUGACAAACUCUAUUGGGCGGUGCUGUCUGAAUAUGUCAGAACAAUUGUCAGGAAAGGAUUUGCUCCUCUGGAGUUUUUUGUUGAAGGUUUCAGAAGUCGCACACUGAAGUCUGUUUCACCAAAGCUUGGUGAGUUUCCACCUUUGUUUUGUCUCAUAAAUGUAUGACUUCCCCGCUAUCUCCUCAUGUUUGUAUUUUUCAUGCAUUCUCAUAGUUUGUCUGCAGGUGGCAGCAUAGAGACAACACAUAGGAUUUACAGAGAACCAAAUGUGAACAUGUUCAUUUAUAAAGUAAAUCUGGUCA